AGCCCGCGCCGGGCCUUCCCUCCCAGCGCUCCCCGCAGCUGUUGCAGGACCUGAGCCCAGCGGCCGAGCACCUGCGCUGCUCCCUGCCGCGCCUGCAGAGCCCGCAGAGGCCCCUGCGAGAGGCGGCCUUCAGCAUCAUCGGGGUGGCCGGAGCUCAUGACGGGGCAGAAGGAGGAGCUCCAGGUCCUCGCUGAGGUUCCUGAAGCCGUCAGGGAAGAUCAGAGCCCAUCCUGCAGGAGCACACUGAUCCAGGUUGCAUUGGGAAGAAGAUCUGAGCGACUUUCUCUGCUGGAUCAGAUAGA